UAGGGAAUAUUGCGCAAUGGAGGAAACUCUGACGCAGCGACGCCGCGUGGGUGACGAAGGUCUUCGGAUCGUAAAGCCCUGUCGGAAGGGACGAAAAACGAGAUGGCUAACAUCCAUUUCGAUUGACGGUACCUUUAAAGGAAGCACCGGCUAACUACGUGCCAGCAGCCGCGGUAAUACGUAGGGUGCAAGCGUUGUUCGGAAUCAUUGGGCGUAAAGCGCGUGUAGGCGGUUAGAUAAGUCAGAUGUGAAAGCCCUGGGCUCAACCCAGGAAGUGCAUUUGAAACUAUCUAGCUAGAAGAUGAUAGAGGAAGGUGGAAUUCCAAGUGUAGAGGUGAAAUUCGUAGAUAUUUGGAGGAAUACCGGCGGCGAAGGCGGCCUUCUGGGUCAUACUUGACGCUGAGACGCGAAAGCGUGGGUAGCAAACAG
rnacentral:rRNA from 1 species